UACGGGGGGGGCAAGCGUUGUUCGGAAUUACUGGGCGUAAAGGGCUCGUAGGCGGCCAACUAAGUCAGACGUGAAAUCCCCAGGCUCAACCUGGGAACUGCGUCUGAUACUGGUUGGCUUGAAUCCGGGAGAGGGAUGCGGAAUUCCAGGUGUAGCGGUGAAAUGCGUAGAUAUCUGGAGGAACACCGGUGGCGAAGGCGGCAUCCUGGACCGGCAUUGACGCUGAGGCGCGAAAGCCAGGGGAGCAAACGGG
rnacentral:rRNA from 1 species